rnacentral:rRNA from 1 species
GACGAACGCUGGCGGCGUGCCUAAUACAUGCAAGUAGAACGCUGAAGGAGGAGCUUGCUUCUCCGGAUGAGUUGCGAACGGGUGAGUAACGCGUAGGUAACCUGCCUGGUAGCGGGGGAUAACUAUUGGAAACGAUAGCUAAUACCGCAUAACAGUAGAUAUCGCAUGAUAUCUGCUUGAAAGGUGCAAUUGCAUCACUACCAGAUGGACCUGCGUUGUAUUAGCUAGUUGGUGAGGUACCGGCUCACCAAGGCGACGAUACAUAGCCGACCUGAGAGGGUGAUCGGCCGCACUGGGACUGAGACACGGCCCAGACUCCUACGGGAGGCAGCAGUAGGGAAUCUUCGGCAAUGGACGGAAGUCUGACCGAGCAACGCCGCGUGAGUGAAGAAGGUUUUCGGAUCGUAAAGCUCUGUUGUAAGAGAAGAACGAGUGUGAGAGUGGAAAGUUCACACUGUGACGGUAUCUUACCAGAAAGGGACGGCUAACUACGUG